AGUGAACGCUGGCGGUAGGCCUAACACAUGCAAGUCGAACGGCAGCACAGUAAGAGCUUGCUCUUACGGGUGGCGAGUGGCGGACGGGUGAGGAAUACAUCGGAAUCUACUUUUUCGUGGGGGAUAACGUAGGGAAACUUACGCUAAUACCGCAUACGACCUACGGGUGAAAGCAGGGGAUCUUCGGACCUUGCGCGAUUGAAUGAGCCGAUGUCGGAUUAGCUAGUUGGCGGGGUAAGGGCCCACCAAGGCGACGAUCCGUAGCUGGUCUGAGAGGAUGAUCGGCCACACUGGAACUGAGACACGGUCCAGACUCCUACGGGAGGCAGCAGUGGGGAAUAUUGGACAAUGGGCGCAAGCCUGAUCCAGCCAUACCGCGUGGGUGAAGAAGGCCUUCGGGUUGUAAAGCCCUUUUGUUGGGAAAGAAAAGCAGCAGGUUAAUACCCCGCUGUUCUGACGGUACCCAAAGAAUAAGCACCGGCUAACUUCGUG
rnacentral:rRNA from 1 species